GACGAACGCUGGCGGCGUGCCUAAUACAUGCAAGUCGAACGCAGUGGGGACGGGUGAGUAACACGUGGGUAACAUCCCAUAAGAAGGGAUAACACUUGGAAACAGGUGCUAAACCGAUACUGUUGGAUGAACCCGCGGUGCAUGAGCUAGUUGGGAGGGUAAUGGCUCACCAAGGCCACGAUGCAUAGCCGACCUGCGAGGGUGAUCGGCCACACUGGAACUGAGAAUCGGCCCAGACUCCUACAUGAGGCAGCAGUAGGGAAUCUUCGGCAAUGGACGAAAUUCUGUCCGAGCAACGCCGCGUGUGUGAAAAAGGUUUUCGGAUCGUAGAACUCUGUUGUUAGAGAAGCGGUAUCUAACCAGAAAGCCACGGCUAACUACGUGCCAGCAGCCGCGGUAAUUC
rnacentral:rRNA from 1 species